rnacentral:lncRNA from 1 species
AACGAUAGAAGCACGCUGUCAUGAUGGGCAUAUCAGUUUUAGGAUUCAUGGGUUUUUUCCCGAUCAUUACCCAAGCGCUUAUGUAAAUUUCAGGUAUAGAGUGUAGGCUUAGUGUAGGUAUAACAGGGCAGACUUUUCUAUCUGCUCAUUAUUCUUUUCCUAUUUCUUCUGGGCAGAUUGGCUGCUAUUGUAAUGGAAACCAGAGGCCUAUUCUAUUUUUUGUUCAUACACAUUGAGAGAGGCAUGCUAUACAUUAUACAUACAGGUUGAGAUUAUCUCCCCCAGUUGGAAAAAGGAGAAAUGAUCCAUACAAUGAAAAUGAUAUCUUGCCAAUUUUUGUAG